rnacentral:rRNA from 1 species
GAUGAACGCUGGCGGCGUGCUUAACACAUGCAAGUCGAACGGAAAGGCUCCUGCUUGCAGGGGUACUCGAGUGGCGAACGGGUGAGUAACACGUGGGUGAUCUGCCCUGCACUUCGGGAUAAGCCUGGGAAACUGGGUCUAAUAUCGGAUAGGACCAUCGUUUAGUGUCGGUGGUGGAAAGUUUUUUCGGUGUGGGAUGAGCUCGCGGCCUAUCAGCUUGUUGGUGGGGUAUUGGCCUACCAAGGCGUCGACGGGUAGCCGGCCUGUGAGGGUGUACGGCCACAUUGGGACUGAGGUACGGCCCAGACUCCUACGGGAGGCAGCAGUGGGGAAUAUUGCACAAUGGGCGCAAGCCUGAUGCAGCGGCGCCGCGUGGGGGAUGACGGCCUUCGGGUUAUAAACACCUUUCGCCGGAGACGAAGCGAAAGUGACGGUACCUGAAUAAGAAGCACCGGCUAACUACGUG